CCAGACUCCUACGGGAGGCAGCAGUGAGGAAUAUUGGUCAAUGGCCGAGAGGCUGAACCAGCCAAGUCGCGUGAGGGAAGAAUGUCCUAAGGAUUGUAAACCUCUUUUGUCGGGGAGCAAAAAGGCUCUGCGGAGUCGUAUUGAGAGUACCCGAAGAAAAAGCAUCGGCUAACUCCGUGCCAGCAGCCGCGGUAAUACGGAGGAUGCGAGCGUUAUCCGGAUUUAUUGGGUUUAAAGGGUGCGUAGGCGGGCAUUUAAGCCGGCGGUCAAAUGUCGGGGCUCAACCCCGGCCUGCCGUUGAAACUGCAUCCCUUGAGUGCGCGAGAAGUAUGCGGAAUGCGUGGUGUAGCGGUGAAAUGCAUAGAUAUCGCGCAGAACUCCGAUUGCGAAGGCAGCAUGCCGGCUCCACACUGACGCUGAGGCACGAAAGCGUGGGUAUCGAACAGGAUUAGAUACCCUUGUACU
rnacentral:rRNA from 1 species